rnacentral:rRNA from 1 species
CCCUUAGAUGUUCGGGGCCGCACGCGCGCUACACUGAAGGAAUCAACACGUCUUUCUCCUUGUCCGCCCGGACUGGGUAACCCGCUGAACCUCCUUCGUGCUAGGGAUUGGGGCUUGUAAUUCUUCCCCAUGAACGAGGAAUUCCCAGUAAGCGCGAGUCAUAAGCUCGCGUUGAUUACGUCCCUGCCCUUUGUACACACCGCCCGUCGCUACUACCGAUUGGAUGGUUUAGUGAGAUCCUCGGAUUGGUCCCGGCGCGGCCUCUGGUCGUGCCGGAGUGCCGAAAAGAAUGUCGAACUUGAUCAUCUAGAGGAAGUAAAAGUCGUAACA